CUGAUUAUUCACCAUAAUUUUUGGUAAUAGAAGUGGUUGUUGAGAGAGAAUAUGAAAAAGCUGUUUCUGUUUUGAUUGCUAAAUCACACACACACACACACACACACACACACACACACAUACACAAAGUAAUAUCAGUUUACUUUUUGGAAAAGUAGGUGUGAAUGUGCAGAGUGCCACAAAAUAGAAUAAACAAAUUCACAUCUGAGAGCUCCAAAGAUGCUAGCAGCAGGAGAGAGGGUAUCAGUGGGCAGAGAAUAUUAAAAUAUUAGACAAGACAUUCAGAAUUAGUUAAGGAGAAAUAUGUCCACUGGCCUUAGUAGAUUAAGUUAACUGAGAAUUAGUUAAUGGAGAAACAGCUAAUAUUUAUUGAAUAUUUAUAUAAUAAGCCAGUACUUGUGAUUAAUGUUAUUUAAUCCUCACAGUGACUCAUGAGGCAGAU